GGCAGUAGCGUCGUUUCACAAUUUUUCCAUCACCAUCAUCAGUGGAUGCCUUUGCCGUCCGUAGCCUGAGAUUUCAGAUUUGCAGCAAAAAAUGUGAUGCUGUGCAGGUUGUACCUUGCAGCCAUUCAUUACAAUGUCACCAAGCCGUAACAAAAGCAGGAGAGGGAAAGUACAAGGCUAUGUUCCCAAAACACACAAGUGACAUACUUUAUGUGGAUGAUGUGAUCAGGCUUGUGUUUGAUGAGGUAUUUGAAGAUAAGCUGAAGGAAACGCCGAUUCCAAUGGACCUGGCAUCACAGUUUGAGAGAUCUUCAAAGGAGGACGUGAUUGGAUGCCAUCUCACGCGCUUCAGUGUAGGGGUCGUCGGAAGCCAACAUACUGACCAGUCUGAUCAGGAAGCUCCAAGCGUAUCUCGAGAACAACACACAACAGGAUG